rnacentral:rRNA from 1 species
UACGUAGGGGGCGAGCGUUGUCCGGAAUUAUUGGGCGUAAAGAGCGUGUAGGCGGUUCGGUAAGUCUGCCGUGAAAACCUGGGGCUCAACCCCGGGCGUGCGGUGGAUACUGCCGGGCUAGAGGGUGGUAGAGGCGAGUGGAAUUCCCGGUGUAGCGGUGAAAUGCGCAGAUAUCGGGAGGAACACCGGUGGCGAAGGCGGUUCUCUGGGCCUUACCUGACGCUGAGGAGCGAAAGCGUGGGGAGCGAACAGG